GAUUAAGCCAUGCAUGUCUUAGUACGUGCCGCUCGAAGGCGAAACCGCGAAAGGCUCAUUAAAUCAGUUGUGGUUCCUUAGACCGUACCUUGCUACUUGGAUAACUGUGGCAAUUCUAGAGCUAAUACAUGCAGCGGAGCUCCGAGCCCUUGUGGGAGUAGGAGCGCUUUUAUUAGACCAAGGCCGACCGGUGUUCGCCCGCCGGAAACGGUGGGCGUUCGCGGUCUCCGCUCGUCGUGUCGACUCUGAGUAACUUUUUGCGGAUCGCACGGGCUCUGUCCCGGCGACGCGUCUUUCGAGCGUCUGCCUUAUCAACUGUCGACGGUAGGUUACGCGCCUACCGUGGUCGUAACGGGUGACGGGGAAUCAGGGUUCGGUUCCGGAGAGGGAGCCCGAGAAACGGCUACCACAUCCAAGGAAGGCAGCAGGCGCGCAAAUUACCCACUCCCGGCACGGGGAGGUAGUGACGAAAAAUAACGACGCGGGACUCGUUCGAGACCCCGCGAUCGGAAUGAGGAAGUUUUAAAUCCUUUGCCGAGUAUCGAUCGGAGGGCAAGUCUGGUGCCAGCAGCUGCGGUAAUUCCAGCUCCGAUAGCGUAUAUUAAAGUUGUUGCGGUUAAAAAGCUCGUAGUUGGAUCUCAGUCCGUCGUGUGGGGCCCGCCUAACGGCGAGUGCCUCGCUCGGUGGUCAGAAGAGCCGUCUCGUUGCGGUGGCCUUCGUCGGCUGCCGUGACGUGUCGGCGCUUUCACUUUGAAAAAAUUAGAGUGCUCAGGGCAGGCUUACACACAGCCAGAACACACGUGCAUGGAAUGAUGGAACAGGGCCUCGGUUCUGUUGCGUCGGUUUUCGGAAUCGGAGGCAAUGAUCGAGGGGGACGGACGGGGGCAUUCGUACCGCGGCGCUAGAGGUGAAAUUCUUGGACCGCCGCGAGACGGACGGCUGCGAAAGCGUUUGCCAAGCACGUUCCCGUUAAUCAAGAACGAAAGUCAGAGGUUCGAAGGCGAUCAGAUACCGCCCUAGUUCUGACCAUAAACGAUGCCGACCAGCGAUCCGCCUGGGUUCCUCAAAUGACUCGGCGGGCAGCUUCCGGGAAACCAAAGCGUUUGGGUUCCGGGGGAAGUAUGGUUGCCAAGCUGAAACUUAAAGGAAUUGACGGAAGGGCACCACCAGGAGUGGAGCCUGCGGCUUAAUUUGACUCAACACGGGAAAACUCACCCGGCCCGGACACCGGAAGGAUUGACAGAUUCAGAGCUCUUUCUCGAUUCGGUGGGUGGUGGUGCAUGGCCGUUCUUAGUUGGUGGAGCGAUUUGUCUGGUUAAUUCCGAUAACGAACGAGAUUCCAGCCUGCUAACUAGGCGUGAUCCGCCGUCGUCCGACGGCGGCGCAAUCUUCUUAGAGGGACCGGCGGCGUCCAGCCGCACGAGACGGAGCACUAACAGGUCUGUGAUGCCCUUAGAUGUCCGGGGCCGCACGCGCGCUACACUGGAAGAGCCAGCGUGUGUUGCCCCCGGCCGGCAGGCUCGGGUAACCCGUUGAACCUCCUCCGUGCUGGGGACAGGGGCUUGCAAUUGUUCCCCUCGAACGAGGAAUUCCCAGUAGGCGCGAGUCAUAAGCUCGCGUCGAUUACGUCCCUGCCCUUUGUACACACCGCCCGUCGCUGCUACCGAUCGAGCGAUUUAGUGAGGUCUUUGGCCCGUCGCCGAUGUUCGUGGCGUCCGCGCCUCGGCAUCGGCUGGAACGGAAAGACGCCCGAACUUGAUCGCUAGAGAAGCAAAAGUCG
rnacentral:rRNA from 1 species